AUGAACGCUGGCGGCGUGCCUAAUACAUGCAAGUCGAGCGAACAGACGAGGAGCUUGCUCCUCUGACGUUAGCGGCGGACGGGUGAGUAACACGUGGAUAACCUACCUAUAAGACUGGGAUAACUUCGGGAAACCGGAGCUAAUACCGGAUAAUAUAUUGAACCGCAUGGUUCAAUAGUGAAAGACGGUUUUGCUGUCACUUAUAGAUGGAUCCGCGCCGCAUUAGCUAGUUGGUAAGGUAACGGCUUACCAAGGCGACGAUGCGUAGCCGACCUGAGAGGGUGAUCCGCCACAAUGGAACGUAGACACGGUCCAGACCCCUAAGGGAGGCAGCAGUAGGGAAUCUUCCGCAAUGGGCGAAAGCCUGACGGAGCAACGCCGCGUGAGUGAUGAAGGUCUUCGGAUCGUAAAACUCUGUUAUUAGGGAAGAACAAAUGUGUAAGUAACUAUGCACGUCUUGACGGUACCUAAUCAGAAAGCCACGGCUAACUACGUG
rnacentral:rRNA from 1 species